GAGAGAGGCACGAUGCAGCGAAGACUGCUAAUCUUCGCCACCCUGGUUAAAUCCCUGGGCUCACU
rnacentral:tRNA from 1 species